GAAUACUUGAGAAAAUCAAACAGAUCAACCAAAAGAAGUUCAUUUUUGUCUUGUUUUCUUUUGUGCAUAGUUUCUUUGUCUACUGCAUCUCCAAAGAGAAGCACUUAGAGAGUACUCAACUUCUUCCAGCAUUGUAUAUCAAAUAGUCACUUCUCUGUCAUACGCAUAUUUUUAUUGUUGAGCAUUUAGGCAGUGACGUGCAUAUUUUUUGAUAAGGAUCUAUCGCACUUCAAGAUUUGAGCAACUUCACUGAGUAUGAAUGUUAAUGAAAGACCACAUUCCUCUCUUCCUCCAAAGACUGAGUCCUUUAUUCAGAGGGACAUAAUGAUGGAGAUAAUGGCUGGGUCAUCGAUACCACCCUCUCUUCUUUCUAAAGACUGGGCCUUGGAAAGGAGGCAGAUACCGUUUACUUGUCAAUCAGUUUCUCCUCGGAAGACUGCAGACAGCACAUUUUGGCUGAACAUGUAAAAACAUGAUUUUACGACUCUGUUCAGAAGGCUCUCAGAUCAGGAACAAGGAUACAGAUAAAUAGUUCUUUGUAUUUUCAAAAGCAAAGUUAUACCUUCUUUGCAAGAUAUAUAUAUUUUUAACUCUAGAGAUGUAUUUUUGAGUGUGUAUAAUCAUCUAUUUCAUCUGAAGCUUGGUUAUAACAAAUAUGUGCAGCAUAAUCAUGAUCAUCACUUGAAAUUAAUGAAAAUCUGCUAAAGCAAACCUAUUUAGUCACAUGGAAUAAAUUAUUGGACUAAAUUUUCCACUGAUGUCUGAUAGGGAAUAUGCCAGCAAGAACCUGGACAUAAUCACCAUAUGAAGCUCACCAAAUGAACCUGUACUACUGAAGGUUACAAUGAUUGUUUUCCCUGUGCACUUCAGUUCAGUCAUCAUUCAUCAAAUCUCAGACUAAAAGGAGUUUUUACAGAGUUUCCUGGAGAGCUGAAGUCUUUGCUAGUGGGUUGCCUGGGGUUUUCCCAGAGGGAAGAAAGAAGAGUGAUGAGAUGGGAAACACAGCACAAUAGGUUACUGGAGAGUCUGCUGGGAGCUGCUCAACUCGGAUGAGAACAUGAACUUUGGGAAAGGUAUAAAGAAAAACAAUUCCUUCUCCUCCACGGAAAACGAAGGAAGACGUGUCUCUUCAUAAUUUAGGUUAACUCCAAUACAAGUCCUCAUAUGGCCACAUUACCACACUUAGAGCUCCCUCUUCUGAUUUCCUCAUGCCUCCUUUUGGAGAUGUGGAUCUUAAUGAUCACAUGAGUGAUGGCAGCACACAUGCUCACUGGCACCCAGUUGGACUCUCCACUACUGAGCUGGUAUUUUCCAUAUCCUGUCUGUCAGCAACAGAUUGUGAUUUAAAGGGAUAUAAAAUCAUUGGAUGCAAAACU
rnacentral:lncRNA from 7 species